ACCAAACCAACAGACACAUGGGGCAGAAACAAGCUCAUCAGGCCCACCAGCACGAGGUGCUGAAGGCUUGAAACCUACUUGGAUCAGCCUUAAGAAGGAUCCUCCGGUACCACAUUUGCACCUCUGCAGACAGCCCUUCCCGAAGGUCCCGGCUGGACAGGACUCCUCGCAGUAGCGUCCUAUGAACCCGGGAGGACACUGACACGUCCCCUUGACCGGAUCGCAGAGAGCUCCGUUCUCACACUUGCACUGCUGACUGCAGCCAGUCCCCCAGUGUUUGUCAUCACAGGCUGAAAGGACUGUUCAGUGACCUGACCUGCAGCAUGUUUGAUUAUUUAUCACAGUGACAAAACAAAAUAAAGUGUCAUGACCGACUCGCUGAAGAUGUGCUCUCACAGCUCCCUAAAAAUAAAAGCCUAACCCUUGUGCUCUCAUGUCCUUUUUUGGAUAAAAAUGUCUUGUGUCAUAAAAACUGCCAUGGAAUUAUAUUACUUUUCAAUCAACAUCAGUUCUGAUCAUAACUACCAGAUAUUCAUUUUUCAAAAUCUCAAAAUUUGUUUACUGUUUUUAUAGAAAUAAACAUGAAAAAAUAUUGUGUACUAAAUGCUAGGGGGGACUCUCUUUCAGUUUGGGAUAUG